rnacentral:rRNA from 1 species
CCUACGGGAGGCAGCAGUGGGGAAUAUUGCACAAUGGGGGAAACCCUGAUGCAGCGACGCCGCGUGCGUGAAGAAGUAUUUCGGUAUGUAAAGCUCUAUCAGCAGGGAAGAAAAUGACGGUACCUGACUAAGAAGCCUCGGCUAACUACGUGCCAGCAGCCGCGGUAAUACGUAGGGGGCAAGCGUUAUCCGGAUUUACUGGGUGUAAAGGGAGCGUAGACGGCGAAGCAAGUUUGAUGUGAAAAUCCGGGGCCAAACAGCGGGACUGCUUUGGAAACUGCCCGGCUAGAGUGCUGGAGGGGUAAGCGGAAUUCCUAGUGUAGCGGUGAAAUGCGUAGAUAUUAGGAGGAACACCGAUAGCGAAGGCAGGUUACUGGACAGUAACUGACGUUGAGGCUCGAAAGCGUGGGGAGCAAACAGGAUUAGAUACCCGAGUAGUC